GGCGGACGGGUGAGUAAUACUUAGGAAUCUGCCCAUUAGUGGGGGACAACUCGGGGAAACUCGAGCUAAUACCGCAUACGCCCUACGGGGGAAAGUGGAGGAUCUUCGGACUUCACGCUAUUGGAUGAGCCUAAGCCGGAUUAGCUUGUUGGUGGGGUAACGGCCCACCAAGGCAACGAUCCGUAGCUGGUCUGAGAGGACGAUCAGCCACACUGGGACUGAGACACGGCCCAG
rnacentral:rRNA from 1 species